UUAAAGGGGAAAGGAGGUAAAACAUUUUUGAGCGUACACUAUGUGACAGGUAUUACUAGGUACUUUUUAAAUGGUUGUUUUACUUAGUGAAUAAAGUGUUACACGUAAGAAAGAGUAAGAGAGGCCGGGCGCCGUGGCUUGCGCCUAUAAUCCAGCACUUUAGGAGGCCGAGGCUGUCGUAUCACAAGGUCAGAUCAAGACCAUCCUAUCUACAGUGAAACCCCGUCUUUACUAAAAAUACAAAAAAUCAGCUGGGCAUGGUGACAGGCGCCUGUAGUCCCAGCUACUUGGGAGGCUGAGGCAGGAGAAUGGCCUGAACCCGGGAGGCGGAGCUUGCAAUGAGCCAAGAUUGGGCCACGCACUCCAGUCUGGGCAACAGAGCCAGACUCCGUCUAAAAAAAAAAAAAAGUCAACUUUCAUUGCCAGUGAAUGGGACUUCCUUUAGAUGUAAUGUUAGUUGAGGAAAGACUGUGGGAACUCUUUGGGGAAUGGUAGGCAGAUGGGAGGGAAUCAAGUUAGAUAAGGACAGCUCUACCUAAAUGCAAAAAUGCCUUCACAGGCUUUUUGAAGCCCUCUUUUUUCCUAGAAGUUGAUUUAUCAGAGAUUUAUUUUCUUAUAGCCAAUGAAUUUCCCUGUUUGCCAAAGCAAGUGGCUUGGAUCCUGGCCACAAGCAAGGUUUUCAUGUAUCCAGAGUUACUUCCAGUGUGUUCCCUGAAGGCAAAGAAUCCCCAGGAUAAGAUCCUCUUCACCAAGGCUGAGGACAAUUUGUUAGCUUUAGGACUGAAGCAUUUUGAAGGGACUGAGUUUCUUAACCCUCUAAUCAGCAAGUACCUUCUAACCUGCAAGACUGCCCGCCAACUGACAGUGAGAAUCAAGAACCUCAACAUGAACAGAGCUCCUGACAACAUCAUUAAAUUUUAUAAGAAGACCAAACAACUGCCAGUCCUAGUAAAAUGCUGUGAAGAGAUCCAGCCACAUCAGUGGAAGCCACCUAUAGAGAGAGAAGAACACCGGCUCCCAUUCUGGUUAAAGGCCAGUCUGCCAUCCAUCCAGGAAGAACUGCGGCGCAUGGCUGAUGGUGCUAGAGAGGUAGGAAAUGUGACUGGAACCACUGAGAUCAACUCAGAUCAAGGCCUAGAAAAAGACAACUCAGAGUUGGGGAGUGAAACUCGGUACCCACUGCUAUUGCCUAAGGGUGUAGUCCUGAAACUGAAGCCAGUUGCCAACCGUUUCCCCAAGAAGGCUUGGAGACAGAAGCGUUCAUCAGUCCUGAAACCCCUCCUUAUCCAACCCAGCCCCUGUCUCCAGCCCAGCUUCAACCCUGGGAAAACACCACCCCAAUCAACUCAUUCAGAAGCCCCUCCGAGCAAAAUGGUGCUCCGGAUUCCUCACCCGAUACAGCCAGCCACUGUUUUACAGACAGUUCCAGGUGUCCCUCCACUGGGGGUCAGUGGAGGUGAGAGUUUUGAGUCUCCUGCAGCACUGCCUGCUAUGCCCCCUGAGGCCAGGACGAGCUUCCCUCUGUCUGAGUCCCAGACUUUGCUCUCUUCUGCCCCUGUGCCCAAGGUAAUGCUGCCCUCCCCUGCCCCUUCCAUGUUUCGAAAGCCAUAUGUUAGACGGAGACCCUCAAAAAGAAGGGGAGCCAGGGCCUUUCGCUGUAUCAAACCUGCCCCUGUUAUCCACCCUGCAUCUGUUAUCUUCACUGUUCCUGCUACCACUGUGAAGAUUGUGAGCCUUGGCGGUGGCUGUAACAUGAUCCAGCCUGUCAAUGCGGCUGUGGCCCAGAGUCCCCAGACUAUUCCCAUCACCACCCUCUUGGUUAACCCUACUUCCUUCCCCUGUCCAUUGAACCAGCCCCUUGUGGCCUCCUCUGUCUCACCCUUAAUUGUUUCUGGCAAUUCUGUGAAUCUUCCUAUGCCAUCCACCCCUGAAGAUAAGGCCCACGUGAAUGUGGACAUUGCUUGUGCUGUGGCUGAUGGGGAAAAUGCCUUUCAGGGCCUAGAACCCAAAUUAGAGCCCCAGGAACUAUCUCCUCUCUCUGCUGCGGUUUUCCCCAAAGUGGAACAUAGCCCAGGGCCUCCGCCAGUCGAUAAACAGUGCCAAGAAGGAUUGUCAGAGAACAGUGCCUAUCGCUGGACCGUUGUGAAAACAGAGGAGGGAAGGCAAGCUCUGGAGCCGCUCCCUCAGGGCAUCCAGGAGUCUCUAAACAACUCUUCCCCUGGGGAUUUAGAGGAAGUUGUCAAGAUGGAACCUGAAGAUGCUACAGAGGAAAUCAGUGGAUUUCCUUGAGGCAGGAGAAUAGAGUCUGGAGACUGGGAGCCUUCACUUCAGCCUCCGAUUGGUGGUGCAUAGGGUGUAACCAAUAGGAAACCCCUAAAGGGUACUUAAACCCCAGAUUUUGCAACUGGGGCUCUUGAGCAGCUUGCUUUAGCCUGCUCCCACUCUGUGGAAUAUACUUCUGCUUCAAUAAAUCUGUGCUUUUAUUGCUUCGUUGUUUCA
rnacentral:sRNA from 1 species